rnacentral:lncRNA from 12 species
GAAAAAUAUGUGACUGAUGCAUUAAAGUCAAUUAUGCUAGAAAAUGCAAUAUUCAAAAAGUUUUCCAGAUAUUCUGGAAAAAAAAUCUAAGUGAUGACAAAAUGUAGUGCAAUGAUUAGCACUCAUUUGCCAUUAUUGAGGGCAGAAAUAUUUGGUAGUUUAAUUUUACUCAUGAUUAUAAAUGGCUCUUGAGUUCACUGGAAAGUCCAGCUAUAUCACAGCUUUUGAGAUAACCAGGUUAUCUUGCACAUGCAGCUUAAAGUGCAUGUGGCAGGAGGGCGUGUGACACGCAUAAGUCACUGUCCCAAGCACGGCGCAGUGCAUAUCAUUCGCAUGUCACAGAACAUAUUUAUCAUUUCAUGCUAAUGUACGGGCCAUGGCAUGGUGCAGAGAGGCUGUUCAAGGGUGGCCAGUCUUCUGGGACAAUGGUGGAGGCCGUGUCUGGUGGAGGUAUUGCUGAGGGAUACUGGAACCAUUAA